GCGCGACCCGGCCGCGGUAGUGCGUGCCCGUCGCUCUGCGCGCCCGCCCGCCGGAGCGCAGCAUCGCCUCCGGCCAGGAGUGUGCAUGCGUGGGGCAAGCAGUUUCUAAAGAACAGCUCCUCCUCCUCCUACCAUGCUUGGCUUAGUGGACACCUCCUCCAGGAAGCCUGCCAGCCUUGGAGGGCCUACAGCAUCUGCCCCAUGGUGGUGUCGGUGCCCAUUUAUCAGGCUAGCACUAGACUGGGACUGGGUUCGGGGUGAGCCUCAUGCCAGCUCCCAGCAUACAUAGGUGCUCAGUAAACAUCUGCUGAAGGAAUGAAUAAAUGAUUAAAACUCUUGCCUA